rnacentral:rRNA from 1 species
GGAUGAGCCCGCGGCCUAUCAGCUUGUUGGUGGGGUAAUGGCCUACCAAGGCGGCGACGGGUAGCCGGCCUGAGAGGGUGUACGGCCACAUUGGGACUGAGAUACGGCCCAGACUCCUACGGGAGGCAGCAGUGGGGAAUAUUGCACAAUGGGCGCAAGCCUGAUGCAGCGACGCCGCGUGGGGGAUGAAGGCCUUCGGGUUGUAAACUCCUUUCGCUAGGGACGAAGCUUUGUUGUGACGGUACCUAGAUAAGAAGCACCGGCUAACUACGUGCCAGCAGCCGCGGUAAUACGUAGGGUGCGAGCGUUGUCCGGAAUUACUGGGCGUAAAGGGCUCGUAGGUGGUUUGUCGCGUCGUCUGUGAAAUUCUGGGGCUUAACUCCGGGCGUGCAGGCGAUACGGGCAUAACUUGAGUGCUGUAGGGGUAACUGGAAUUCCUG